rnacentral:rRNA from 1 species
UCAGGAUGAACGCUGGCGGCGUGCUUAACACANGCAAGUCGAACGAUGAUGCCCACUUGUGGGUGGAUUAGUGGCGAACGGGUGAGUAACACGUGAGUAACCUGCCCUUGACUCUGGGAUAANCCUGGGAAANUGGGUCUAAUACCGGAUAUGACCNUCCAUCGCAUGGUGGUUGGUGGAAANNUUUUGUGGUUUUGGANGGACUCGCGGCCUAUCAGCUUGUUGGNGGGGUAAUGGCCUACCAAGGCGACGACGGGUAGCCGGCCUGAGAGGGUGACCGGCCACACUGGGANUGAGACACGGCCCAGACUCNUACGGGAGGCAGCAGUGGGGAAUAUUGCACAAUGGGCGCAAGCCUGAUGCAGNGACGCCGCGUGAGGGAUGACGGCCUUCGGGUUGUAAACCUCUUUCAGUAGGGAAGAANCCGCAAGGUGACGGUACCUCAGAAGAGNC